AUGCCUCGGCCUUGGCCUUUCCGUGUUUAUCCUGGGCUGUCAAUCUUCCUGCACUAUAGGAGGCAGCACAGCAGCAAACAGGAACUGACCCUGGAGCCCUUGCCCAGAUGUUGGAUUGCCUUGAAGAAACUCUUCUGUUCUAAAUCUUACUCUAGUCCUCUCCUAGGCCUGGUGGACCCCAGGGACACUGCAGCUCUGGUGUACAAUCCCUUGCCACCCUCCGCAGGGCCAGCCCUUCCCAGAGAAUUCCAUCACCAUUGGCAGCUGCUCCUCCCUAAAGCCACUACUCAGUUUCCUGUCUCUGGAUUCGCCAGUUCUGGAAGUGCCACCCGAAUCCUGCAGUGGUGGCCUUGGUGCCUGGGUUCUUCGCCUGAGUGUGAUGUUUGGGGGCCUGCCCCAUCCUCGCAUUGGCCAGUGCUGCUUCUCCAUGGUAGCUGAGUAAUAUUUCACAGUGCAGAUGUUUAUCCUUCCACACAUGGGUGGCGUCCAUCAUUUGAGUCUCAUGGCAAAUAUUGCUCUGAAUGCGGGUGUGUAAAUGCCUGUCGUGCCUGUCUUUUGGGGGGAGUGUGCCCGCAGGGGAGUUGCUGGGUGGGUGGCAAUGCCGUAUGGUGAAACCAGGCUGUUUUCUACAGAGGCUGCACAAUUUUACAUUCACACUCGCUGUGAAUGAGGGAUGUCACUGGGUUUGGACCAUGUGUCCACUGCUGUCCUUGGGCUGGGGGUGCAUAGCCAGAAGCCAGGUCUCCAGUAUCUGAGUAUCUACCACGGCUCUGUGGCC
rnacentral:lncRNA from 1 species